rnacentral:lncRNA from 1 species
CACAGCUUCCCUCUCCCUGGGAUCCACUCCCCCUCUGUCUCCCAUCAACAAAGGCCUCCAAGAGACAACAGGCAAACAGGACAAGGCAAAGACAGUAAGACAAGGCAGACUGCAGUAAGACAAGACAAGGCAGACUACAGUAAGACAAGACAAGGCAGACUACAGUAAGACAGGGCAGACUACAGUAAGACAGGACAGACUACAGUAAGACAAGGCAGACUACAGUAAGACAAGACAAGGCAGACUACAGUAAGACAAGACAAGGCAGACUACAGUAAGACAAGGCAGACUACAGUAAGACAGGGCAGACUACAGUAAGACAAGGCAGACUAUAGUAAGACAAGGCAGAAGCCCUCACAAUGAGUCUGGACAAGGCAGCCCAGUAGGAGGAAAAGAGUACUAAGAGCAGGCAAAAGAGUCAGAGACACUCCUGCUACCACAGUUAGGAGUCCCACA